CGGAGGUGCGAGCGUUAAUCGGAAUUACUGGGCGUAAAGCGUGCGCAGGCGGUUUGUUAAGCGAGAUGUGAAAGCCCCGGGCUCAACCUGGGAAUUGCAUUUCGAACUGGCAAGCUAGAGUCUUGUAGAGGGGGGUAGAAUUUCAGGUGUAGCGGUGAAAUGCGUAGAGAUCUGAAGGAAUACCGGUGGCGAAGGCGGCCCCCUGGACAAGACUGACGCUCAUGCACGAAAGCGUGGGGAGCAAACAGGAUU
rnacentral:rRNA from 1 species